CUGGAUUUGGGUCAGUCUCCUGAA
rnacentral:piRNA from 1 species